AGUGAAUGGAGACAAUAUUUUGGUCCCAGAUGAUACAUUCUGAUUAUAUAAUUAUGUUUAUUUAUGACAUU